AUCCACGUCGCCUCUUCUCCCUGCUCCAGCCACACACACACACCCACGCGAUCGUGCUCCAGUCCACGGCGCCGCGUUUCCCUUCUCUCUUCCCUCCUCUCUACAAUCCUCCAAGCUUUCGUCGGCCACUUGCGGGGCGGCUGCGUAUGGGCUCCAGGUGGCCGGGGCUACGCGCGGGGGCAGGCUGGGGCUGUGGCGGAGGCGCGGCAGCGGUGGCCGGCGGCUGCUUGAAGGGGCCGCGUGGAUCUGCCGCCGGGGCUUCGAAUCGGCGUGGUCGUCUGAGCCCUAAGUUUUCGACGCCGAGAGCUUGGCGAUCCAGAGGGUGCUGGUCUCCGUCGGUGGACAUUCGAUGACAAAUGAAAAAAACAGAGGCAACCAAUUCAGCGAGGCCGGCCACCCAGCAAAACGCACCAAAGAACCAAUUCUUUCUUUACCAGAGAAGAAGAAGGCGAGGCCCAAUCUCAGCUGCUGUCCGUCCUUACCUGCCUACAUCCGGCGGGCCGAUGGGGGGCCGGACCUGAGGCGACAUGGCCCUCCCAAGAGAGAAGCAGGCGUUGGCGCUGUGCAGGCCGUCCAUGGCGAUGGAGACGCCCGGACAGGAAGGGCUCAAUCCGGAUGAACCAGCCCGCACCGAGCCCGGCCGCCUCAACAAGAGCUCGUCUCUCUGCUUGCCUGCGGCUCACCGGAGCCGCCAUCGCCGGCGACCGCCUCCCUCACCUUGUGCCCCUUCUCCUUCGCCUUUCUUCCUCUCUUCCCCGAGGAGCGGGGAGCCGACGAAUCCGUCGGUCAGGAGCUGGGCGGCGCCCUCCAUCAUCGUGGCCGUUUGGGGAGGGACGCGGUCCUGGUCGAUGCGGUGUGGGGCGGGCGACGUAGGGCAAGAGGUGGCGGCGGGAUGGAGGUACAUGCGAUGGGGCACCGGCAAACAGAGGCGGGCGGCGGAGGUGCUGCAGGAGCGGCGCUCGACCGCGAGGUGAGGAGGAGGAGCAGAGGAAGGGGAGGCUGGAGGUGAUCCUCGCUGACGAUGGUGGGACUCAGGCAUGAGCAGGAGGAUGAGAGGAAACGGGACAGCGGCCUGCUGGUGGCUGUCGGCGACGCCGGGUGGCGAGGGGUUGUCGGAGCGGCGUCGUGGACGCCGGCGCCAAGCGGCGGCGAGUGGCCGUCGGUGGAGUCUUGGAAUGGAUAAGGAAUAUAAGGACUGACUGCAGACUGCGGGCUAAAUUCUAACUAAUGCAGGGGCUCUUUUGCAACAAUGAAACGUUUUUUUAGGAACUCACUUGAUAAAGGACUGCGGGUUGAAUUAAACAAAUAACAAGGGCUUUUUUGAAAAAAAUGGCAAUGACGGACGACCAAAAACUUAAUUUGCUUUAUUAUUAGGUAAAGACUAAAGUCUGCUUAGUACUGCCACAAUUACGUACUCGUUUGCAUCCAGUCUCCACUUAUUGGUGACUUCGAGACUAACUACUGCUACUUGGGUCAGACGCUAGUACUGGUUUAGCUAAGUACCUAGCACUACUACUUCACGUGGAGUACUUGCCCAAUUUUCUCUUCCCUCAAAUUGCUAUGUGCACUAAGAGGCGAUCAACAAGGAGGAGUCAAUACCUGCCGUUGUACUGUGUUUUGUAGAUUAUUAUUACACAUAAUAUUUUUUGUUGGACGGCAUUGCAUUAUUUUUGCAGAUGUAUCCUGCCGAUGCUCGUACGUGGCAUUUUUAUUGGAGCCAAUCCGGCCGGCUUCUUGCUAGUCAAAUCCUUGUCCGCAGCUUGGUGGACAUCAAAAUUCGAUUGUAACCGUAUCAUGUUGUCACCUCGCCCAGCCAAAUCAGGUGCUAUAGUUUCUGUUUAUUUCGUUUUACGCAGAUCAAUUCUUUUGCAAAAGUAUCGCUGCCGCUCUGUGCGAUAUUUUUCAUAGAUCGGAUUUACCCCGCGCGAAGAAGGAGAGCAGCGGUGGCAGGAGGCAUGGCCGCCGAACCCUGCACUGGCCCCUGGCUACCCGAUCGGGGCCAGCCCCGUACGCUGGAUGGGCGGCAGCAUAUGUAUCUGCUAUAAAACAAAAAUCCACCUGCGGUAGGUCGACCGAGGAGCUGGCGCAGUAGUUGUACUGCCCAUACAGUGCACAGGAGCUGACGAGACUUCAAAUCGCUCGCAACGCACAGGCUGAUUCGGUCCCCUUCUUUCUUUUGGCUAUUAUUUAAUUAGCAUGAGAUAGUCUAUGCUUUUUGCUAACCAUCUGUCUUCUGGGUACUUCCCGCAUGCAAGUACUAGUAUUAUCACUAGAGAUGCCUUUGUCCACGUAAUAGAAGGAACACACUUAGAUUGCUACAGUAAUCACCUGGAGAUAAAAAACCUCUGAGUAUGGGCAGUACUAAUCCUGCCUUUUUACCUCAGAUUUCAGCUCCUUACCUCAGAUUUCAGCUCCUCAGAACAAGAACAUCAGGUUUUAUUUUUCUAAUUACCUGUACUAUAUGUAUUAAAUAUGUAUGGAAUGUUUUUCUGCUGAAUUUUUUUGUGUAGAUUUCUCUGCCGGUUACAAUUCGGCCCGUUGAUCGCAUCAGCGUGGUGGUCCGUCCAGUUUUCGGCCACCCGGCUUCCUCCAUAGUUCGGCGGAUACCAUGUUCGCGCCCUGUCCUGUCAGAUGAAUUCGAACUAGGUCACGGGGUCACCACAUUGGGUCAACGUGUCGCUGGACCAACCUCGGACCUCAGGCCAUAUUUCUUUAAUUAUUUACGUUAUUUAAAUUCAUUAAGUAGAGGAUUUUUUUAAAAAAUAUUAUUAUCUCUGGCUUGCACUAUUUUAUCUGUCCAGGCAAUUGACUUAGACCGGGCCGCAUUGUCACCUUGGCGUGCUGAUGACCGCAACCUAAUUGUGUUAUCGCCUUGGCGCGCUGCCCUAUGUUGGCAACCCCGCGUCGCUGCUUCAUCAACCUACUCGGCCGGAGACUCCGGCAUCACCCCGCCGACCUGCUCCAUCACCUCGGCUAGAAUGGGGGAUUCACCUCUUCGGAGUGUCGAGCUCUUCGCUCGGGCACAUCGGGCUUGGGGGUUGAGACCUCCUCCCGCACCAAGCUCGGACCGCGUCAUCAAUGCCGAACACAUUAACCAGCUAAGUCGCUUUCAUGCUCAAAGUUUUAAAAUUUUAAAUUUUGUUCGGUCCGACCAAGCAUUAUACUUUUUUUAGCAAAAAGUUGUUUGUGAAAAAUUUCCUUGUCCAAACUUUGUUUGUGACAAACAAAUUCAAAUACCCCGUUUACUUGGGGGCUUCCUUUGUGAAGCCUUUCCUUUUGCAAACGAUUAUACUUGUACGGCUUCAUUCCUUGUUCGUGUAUUACGCCGCAAUAUGCACCAUGUUGACUUAAGCGAUUUGCAAGCUGGGUUGCCUUGCUCCUGUGUUUAUCCCUACGUUCCUGAUUGUUCGGCUAGGGAGUAAAGGGAGCACCUCUGCGAUUGUCACGAUCGGGUCAUCCAAGCCGGACCUCAGACUGGGUGAAGCCAAAAGCUCGCGCUCUUACUGUUUUCAAUAAUGGCCGGCACACAACGGAACUCAUGAGUACAAAAAAACUAUUGCACAAGUCUCAUAGCAGCAAUGAGCAACCGAAAAAAGGUAUCGGUGGGGUACUAUUUUCUUCGAAGAUGCUUCUUAUACUUCGUUAGUAAUCAAGCAUAAGUUCCCUGAGCGCGCUUUGUCUGUUACAGCCUUAUGGCCUGAUUGUCUGGUUAUCGGAAACACCAUCAAUAUUCUCGAUAGGUGGAGUACAUAACACUUUUUGGCCCUUGGCCGAAGAGGGAGAAGCCGACGGUCGGUUAAGACGCGUUUAAAGUUCGGGUGAACACAAAUAUGAUAUAAGUACUUCGGUACAUACAAUCAUUAUACAUAAAAUUCUUUUACCCAAGUCACUUGGGGGCUCUUAGAUUUAUGUGAGUUGUUUUAUAAUAAGUGUUCUUCUUCUUAGUCGUUGCAAAAUCUUUUUUCCAUCACUCCUUUUUUUGACGCGAGUGUGUGGUCAAUAGCCGGGGAGCCUAAUUUCUCUAUCAAAGCCGCUAAAGUUUGCUAAACUUGCCUAACGAGAAGCACUCCGCCUUCGGGAUAGGAGGUUAAAGCCAUAAGCUGACCCGCUUGAAGUCUUGAGAUAGAAUGUGUCAUGUUAAAGCACAACAGAAGCACAAUUUUUUUCUAAGACCAAUUUUCUGAUUGGCACUGAACAAUUGAUCUAGUUCGGACGUCGAGUUUUUCCUGACGUUUUUUUGGUCUUCCAAUCCUAUGGCACUUUUCAACUAUUUGUGUGUUUUCCGCAUAAGUCUCGCAGUGCAACGCCGGACACCUUUAAGGAUUCGGCAAAAAUUCUCGGAUAUUGUUAUAUGUGCAUCAGUUUUGAAUUGUGUCUUCGGUCAAUAGUUGGGUUGCCCGGCUCCUGUGCUUGCCUCCUAUGUUCUGCUUUGUUCGGCUAGGUGUGCAAAGGGAGAACCACUGUGAUUGUGCUUCCAGCUCGCAUGGUUAAGCACCGCAGUGGAGAAAGCCAAAAAUUGACUGUCACAAUAAGCGUAAACUGGUCAGCGGUCCGAUGACUGUAUUAAAUGAUGG
rnacentral:rRNA from 1 species